rnacentral:rRNA from 1 species
UACGAAGGGGGCGAGCGUUGUUCGGAAUUACUGGGCGUAAAGGGCGCGUAGGCGGCCGAGCAAGUUAGAUGUGAAAGUCCUGGGCUUAACCUGGGGACUGCAUUUGAUACUGCUUGGCUUGAAUUCGGGAGAGGAUAGCGGAAUUCCCAGUGUAGAGGUGAAAUUCGUAGAUAUUAGGGAAGAACACCGGUGGCGAAGGCGGCUAUCUGGACCGACAUUGACGCUGAGGCGCGAAAGCGUGGGGAGCAAACAGG